UAAAUACUCCCUCCGUCCGGAAAUACUUGUCACAGAAAUGGAUAUAAAUGGAUGUAUCUAAAACUAAAAUACAUAUAGAUACAUCCAUUCCUCCGACAAGUAUUUCCGGACGGAGGGAGUACCAU
rnacentral:pre_miRNA from 1 species